ACAUUCUACUAUCAUGUGUAACUAAGAACAAGUAAAAAAUUAAUAAAAAGAAAGCCAGGUGUGGUGGUGCAAUCCUGGCGGCUUGGAAAGCUGAGGCAGGAGAUCACAAGUUCCAGGCCAGCCUUAGCAACUUCACAAGGCCCUAAGCAACUUAGUGAGACUUUGUCUGGGAUGUAACAGUAAAGUACCCCUGAGUACCCCUGAGUUCCAUCCCCAGUACCAAAAUAUAAAAUAAAAGUUGGGGGGAGGAGGAAUCCCAUAUGGUGAAUGCAGUAUACUGAAAUGGAGACAUUAGAGGGCCACUGUCACAGUCCAUGGUAGGCAGGACACAGAAGCAUCACAAAAGGGAUUCAAGUGUCAUAUUGCAGUGAUGCAACUCUGGAGUGUGAAAACACACUAAAUAUUCACAGAGUCCUGCCGAAGACCAAGAAUGAAGAAAGCCAACUCUUAAUAUGGUCUAGCAGGAAUUAGAAGUGCUCAAAAAAAAAAAUGACCCUACUUAUUUAGGGUGACAUGUUGAGAUGUCUUUGCAUUUUGAAAAGAGCUGAUUGAUUUCACAAUGUUUACUAAAGUUUUCUAGAUGUCUGUGACCUCCAGAAGUUGAAUAAAAUCUUGUGGCUAGAGCCCUGGUGUGAUAUAAAGCUAUGAUGAGGUAUUUUCCUUAAAUGGAG
rnacentral:lncRNA from 1 species